GGACAACCUUCCGAAAGGGAGGCUAAUCCCGCGUAUAUCGGUUUCGGGCAUCCGAGAUCGAGGAAAGAUUCAUCGGAAGAGGAUGGGCAUGCGGCGCAUUAGCUAGACGGCGGGGUAACGGCCCACCGUGGCGACGAUGCGUAGGGGUUCUGAGAGGAAGGUCCCCCACACUGGUACUGAGACACGGACCAGACUCCUACGGGAGGCAGCAGUGAGGAAUAUUGGUCAAUGGGAGAGAUCCCGAACCAGCCAAGCCGCGUGAGGGAAGACGGCCCUAUGGGUUGUAAACCUCUUUUGUCGGAGAACAAAACCCGGGACGUGUCCCGGACUGCGUGUAUCCGAAGAAAAAGCAUCGGCUAACUCCGUGCCAGCAGCCGCGGUAAUACGGAGGAUGCGAGCGUUAUCCGGAUUUAUUGGGUUUAAAGGGUGCGUAGGCGGUUCGUUAAGUCAGCGGUAAAAUUGCGGGGCUCAACCCCGUCGAGCCGUUGAAACUGGCAGACUUGAGUUGGCGAGAAGUACGCGGAAUGCGCGGUGUAGCGGUGAAAUGCAUAGAUAUCGCGCAGAACUCCGAUUGCGAAGGCAGCGUACCGGCGCCAGACUGACGCUGAGGCACGAAAGCGUGGGGAUCGAACAGGAUUAGAUACCCUGGUAGUCCACGCAGUAAACGAUGAAUGCUGGUUGUCCGGGUCGAAUGAGAUCUGGGC
rnacentral:rRNA from 1 species